GAUGAGAGAGAGAGAGAGAGAGAGAGAAUGGGGGGGGGGGGUGGAGGGGCAGAGAAAGAAGAGAGAAAGAAGUCCGAGCAGGCUGUGCGCUGUCAGCGCAAAGACCGCCAUGGGGUUCAAACCCAAGAACCGUGAGAUCAUGAUCUGAAGCUGAAAUCAGGAGUCGGACGCUCACCUGACCGAGCCACCCAGACGCCCCCGGAGUCAUUUUUAAAACAGGGUAUAGGUGACCCUAACGUGGCCAGCCGUUGCUAGAAAAAAACAAUCUCCCUUGCCCACUGCCAAGUCAGACAGACGGACCGGGUUCUGAUGGGAGUCACAGAAGCAAAAGCUUUUGUGUGUAAGUGGAGAAAAGGAGAGGGGAGAAGAAUUGAGAGCGGAGGGGAGGGGAGGGGAAGUCAGACAAAACAAAAUGGCAUGUCUCUCCGACCGGGUCUCUUCAACUAGUUGUGAAAGCUGAGCUGAGGGGACAAAAAAGAACCCGCUGGAGGGGCGCCUGGGUGGCUCGGUCGGUCGAGUGUCCGAUUUCGGCUCAGGAGCCAGAGGACAGGGUAGAGGUGGAGACGAAGGCAGGGCUGCCGCAGGGCCAGGUAAAAAAACACAGACGCGGUGGGGAUUGGACUUGAGGACGCUGUCCUCCUGGGCUGGCAGGGACCCAACAGCCCGGCCAAGCCUGAGGAGGGAACGCUCAGGAGCGCCUGGAGUUGGAGUUGGUGUCCUUGGCAGCGGGCGGGAGGGGGGCAGACACCCUCCUGCUGUGCGUGGGCAUCCCCAAGGCUCUGUGGGGGUGUGAUGGUGGCUGAAUGGCAGCAGAAGAGGACUGGAAGAGCUUGGCAGAUGCCCCUUGCCGACCCAGGGCCCACAGGUGCCAGUCACGGAGUAGGGUGGCGUCUGAACCUGACGGUCCGUGGGCUAUUGUUCCGUAUAGGAUGCCGGGACGGCUGGGUAGCCAUCCAGAAAAAGUAACGUCAGACUUACACUCCCAAUUCCUGUACUAGGACGGAUACGAAGAAGUGUGAUCUGUGCUCGAGGUGGAAAUGCAAAAUGAUGAACAAUUGAAAGGACAACGGGCAAAGAAUAGAGACACUCAGUAACUUGACCAAACUCACAAGAAGCCGGUGCGUGAACCGGAAUGAGAAACCAUUAAUUUGCAAUGGGAAAUACUCCUUUGCGAUGACAGAACACGCAUGUCUGCCAUCCAGGCACCUCGCUGCACAGAUCAAGAUGCCCGUGACGUUCCGUGAGGGAGCCCGGUGGGGCGCCUGGCUGGCUCCUUCAGAAGAGCAUGGGACUCUCGAUGAUCUCAGGGUCGUGAGUUCAGACCCCAUGUUGGGCAUGGAGCCUACUUUAAAUAAAUAAAUAAAUAAAUAAAUAAAUAAAUAAAUA
rnacentral:lncRNA from 1 species